CCAACCAUCCUGGUGUGAGCAGAAGGCUCCCGUGGUCCCAUCCAAGCAGCACAUCUAUCAGACUGCGAAAGUAGGUGCUAUCCCACUCAGCCCCUCAGUCUUUCUCCCGGUUUUAGCCUUGUGUUCCUGCACAUCUGAACAUAUAUCAUAAAUGCUCUAUGGCUGGUCUCUUCUUACUAUUCACACUGAGCAAAAAAAAUAGAUGCUGAGGGGGGUAUGUGGUACUGCAAUUAAGAGCAGGUUUUGCUUAAAAAAAAAAAAAAAGGCAAAUUUAUUUACAAAUUUAUUUAUUCUAUCAGCAUUGGAAAGGUUAGAUAUCUGGCAAAUGUUUUUUUCUGAUAUUAGAUUUGCUUUUAGAAAAUUAAGAUCCCCUGGUAGGUGACAUACAGGAAUUUGUGUAUGUGUGUGAUUUGCUUGGAAUUGUUGCAGCAAAUUCUCAAAUAUGGAACAGCCAGAAAAAUGUCUUUUUUUUUUUUUAUAGGCACUCCUACACUAAUUUAAAAAUAGUAAACUGGAGCAAGGUAAGUAUCACAGAGCCUGAUGUGGAAAAAGUACAUUGAUAGAAAAUAAGGAAUAGCAUAUGUGAUGAAGACUGACAUUGCAAAUGAAAAAUAAAGAGAGAAAAAAAUAACACAAAAUAACAUAAGAUGCAAAGUGAUUAGGGACACCGAGAGAGAGACAGAAACAAAAAGUUGGUGACAGAUGAGGUUGAUAAGGCAAAGGGCCUAAAGGAAUUCCUCGCCCCAGUAAUCACAGAGGCAGCAGAAGGCAACAUCCCAGGAACCGGGAUUUGUUUUCCUCAGGGAAGGAAGGAAAAUGUCAAAAGGUUUUACCCUUGCACUGGAGUGGAUAAUAAGGCAAUUAGUACUAUUAAAAGUUGUCAGUGCACCCAGACUGGAGUGAUAAAUCACUUCCUAGGAUUGUAACAGGAGAGGGAGAUGCUGGAAAGCUUUUAUGGAGCGAUUGUUAAAACUUACUGGAAGGGGAAUUAUUGAGAACGGGUGGGUGUUUAAUGAAGUUUACACCAAGAAAUGAGAGGGAGAACUGCAAUCCCAUCACUUACAGAUCUGUAAGCUUGACUUCACUUCUGCAAGAGAAACUAGCUACUACUGAAAAGAUUAAUCUGGAAAAUGGAGGAUGGAAGGAGAGGGAGGAAUUGAUCAGUCAUGCAGCCUCAACUGAUGGCGUACCCUCAAGGCAACUUGCAAGACUUGGAGAAAUGCCGACAAAAUUUUCCUAGGCAGAAGGAAACAGACUGGUUCAUUUUACUAGCGUGGCUGCAUCUCAAACCAGCCCACAUAAGGAGGGUGAAGAGGAACCGAACAGUUACUCCAUACUGCAGAUCU